UGGGGAAUAUUGCACAAUGGGGGAAACCCUGAUGCAGCGACGCCGCGUGAACGAAGAAGGUAUUCGUAUCGUAAAGUUCUGUCCUAUGGGAAGAUAAUGACAGUACCAUAGAAGAAAGCUCCGGCUAAAUACGUGCCAGCAGCCGCGGUAAUACGUAUGGAGCGAGCGUUGUCCGGAAUUAUUGGGCGUAAAGGGUACGCAGGCGGUUUAAUAAGUCGAAUGUUAAAGAUCGGGGCUCAACCCCGCAAAGCAUUGGAAACUGAUAAACUUGAGUAGUGGAGAGGAAAGUGGAAUUCCUAGUGUAGUGGUGAAAUACCUAGAUAUUAGGAGGAAUACCAGUAGUGAAGGCGACUUUCUGGACACAAACUGACGCUGAGGUACGAAAGCGUGGGGAGCAAACAGG
rnacentral:rRNA from 1 species